GACGAACGCUGGCGGCGUGCUUAACACAUGCAAGUCGAGCGGAAACGCCCUGCUUUUGUGGGGUGCUCGAGUGGCGAACGGGUGAGUAACACGUAAGUAACCUGCCCUUGACUUUGGCAUAACUUCAGGAAACUGGGGCUAAUACCGGAUAGGAGCUCCUGCUGCAUGGUGGGGGUUGGAAAGUUUCGGCGGUUGGGGAUGGACUCGCGGCUUAUCAGCUUGUUGGUGGGGUAGUGGCUUACCAAGGCUUUUACGGGUAGCCGGCCUGAGAGGGUGACCGGCCACAUUGGGACUGAGAUACGGCACAGACUACUACGGGAGGCAGCAGUGGGGAAUAUUGCACGAUGGGCGGAAGCCUGAUGCAGCAACGCCGCGUGAGGGAUGACGGACUUCGGGUAGUAAACCGCAUUCGCCUGUGACGAAGCGUGAGUGACGGUAAUGGGUAAAGAAGCACCGGCUAACUACGUG
rnacentral:rRNA from 1 species